rnacentral:rRNA from 1 species
AUUGAACGCUGGCGGCAGGCCUAACACAUGCAAGUCGAACGAGUGGCGGACGGGUGAGUAAUGUCUGGGAAACUGCCUGAUGGCGGGGGAUAACUACUGGAAACGGUAGCUAAUACCGCAUACUAUCGGAUGUGCCCAGAUGGGUUUAGCUAGUAGGUGGGGUAAAGGCUCACCUAGGCGACGCUCCCUAGCUGGUCUGAGAGGAAGACCAGCCACACUGGAACUGAAACAGGGUCCAGACUCCUACGGUAGGCAGCAGUGGGGAAUUUUGCACAAUGGGCGCAAGCCUGAUGCAGCCAUGCCGCGUGUAUGAAGAAGGCCUUCGUGUUGUAAAGUACUUUCAGCAGAGAGGCGUUACCUGCAGAGGAAGCACCGGCUAACUCCGGGCCAGCAGCCGCGGUAAUAC